rnacentral:rRNA from 1 species
UGAACGCUGGCGGCGUGCCUAAUACAUGCAAGUCGAGCGAACAGAUGAGGAGCUUGCUCCUCUGACGUUAGCGGCGGACGGGUGAGUAACACAUGGAUAACCUACCUAUAAGACUGGGAUAACUUCGGGAAACCGGAGCUAAUACCGGAUAAUAUAUUGAACCGCAUGGUUCAAUAGUGAAAGACGGUUUUGCUGUCACUUAUAGAUGGAUCCGCGCCGCAUUAGCUAGUUGGUAAGGUAACGGCUUACCAAGGCAACGAUGCGUAGCCGACCUGAGAGGGUGAUCGGCCACACUGGAACUGAGACACGGUCCAGACUCCUACGGGAGGCAGCAGUAGGGAAUCUUCCGCAAUGGGCGAAAGCCUGACGGAGCAACGCCGCGUGAGUGAUGAAGGUCUUCGGAUCGUAAAACUCUGUUAUUAGGGAAGAACAAAUGUGUAAGUAACUAUGCACGUCUUGACGGUACCUAAUCAGAAAGCCACGGCUAACUACGUG